UAUACACGCGUUAUUUUUCCCCGCGUUUAUCGGUUAUUUCGUCAGAAAAACGCACGAUCGUUACGAUAAAAGAAAAAAAAGUUUGUUAAACAAAGUGUUUGGAGUGGAAAAAAGAUAUUGGGGAUUUUUCGUUGACUCCAAAUGUCCGUAUUGUAUAUCUCAAAAAGAGUGACAUUCUUUUAGAGCGCUGAAUUUCGACCUAGUAUCUUGUCAAAACUAACCUGUUAAUCGUAUACUAGAUUUUCAUUUUUUCAAAUUGAAAAACAACGAGCAGUAGAGCGCAGAUGGUAAUGGGAGAUAAAAACUCGAUGGAUUGGUGUCCUUUUGUUUACGGGGGACUAGCUUCGAUAGUUGCAGAAUUAGGUACAUUCCCCCUAGAUACGACUAAGACUCGUCUACAAGUUCAAGGCCAAAAGUUCGACAAGAAAUAUGCUUCUUUACGAUACUCUGGUAUGACAGAUGCUCUUGUUCAAAUUUCUAAACAAGAAGGCUUCAAAUCACUGUACUGUGGGAUCAGCUCGGCAAUACUGAGGCAGGCUACAUAUGGAACAAUUAAAUUUGGCACAUACUACACGCUUAAACGAGCCGCUACCGAAAAAUGGGGAACAGAUGAUUUAGUGCUUAUAAAUGUUGUGUGUGCAGCGUUAGCAGGAGCUAUUUCAAGCGCAAUCGCUAAUCCAACUGAUGUGGUGAAAGUUCGCAUGCAAGUGACUGGUGUCGAGGGGAAUUUGUCUCUGAGCCGGUGUUUCCGGGAUGUAUACCAACAUGAGGGUGUACGUGGAUUGUGGAGGGGGGUUGGACCAACAGCUCAAAGAGCCGGAGUCAUUGCGGCAGUCGAAUUGCCUAUUUAUGACUUUACAAAGGGCAGGUUGACGCGAAUCGUAGGAGACAGUGUCACUAAUCAUUUUAUGUUCAUUGACAGUGUCGUGCACACCAGAGCACACACACAGAAAGAGAGAGAAAGAGAAAAAAGUGUACAUGGAGGUUGGACCGCAAUAAACAUGACAUGAAAGCAGCGAGUUCGAUCCUCCGUGUCCUAUUUUCACGAUCUUAAAAAAUAAACGAAACAAAAAUCAAAUAAACAAAACAGAACGAAUGUUCACCAGAUGAAUUUAUCUUCAUCUACUUCGCAUAGUCUUCUUGCUCGAGCUUUGUUGCCAGUAUGGGGAGUGCUGUAGCUUCGACUCCGAUUGACGUUGUUCGGGUGAGUUACAAAUUUCAUAAUAAAAAACAAUAUUACUCUGCAACAAGGUCAGAACUUUCCUAUCGGUC